rnacentral:rRNA from 1 species
GGAUGAACGCUGGCGGCGUGCCUAAUACAUGCAAGUCGAGCGAACAGACGAGGCGCUUGCUCCUCUGACGUUAGCGGCGGACGGGUGAGUAACACGUGGAUAACCUACCUAUAAGACUGGGAUAACUUCGGGAAACCGGAGCUAAUACCGGAUAAUAUAUUGAACCGCAUGGUUCAAUAGUGAAAGACGGUUUUGCUGUCACUUAUAGAUGGAUCCGCGCCGCAUUAGCUAGUUGGUAAGGUAACGGCUUACCAAGGCAACGAUGCGUAGCCGACCUGAGAGGGUGAUCGGCCACACUGGAACUGAGACACGGUCCAGACUCCUACGGGAGGCAGCAGUAGGGAAUCUUCCGCAAUGGGCGAAAGCCUGACGGAGCAACGCCGCGUGAGUGAUGAAGGUCUUCGGAUCGUAAAACUCUGUUAUUAGGGAAGAACAAAUGUGUAAGUAACUAUGCACGUCUUGACGGUACCUAAUCAGAAAGCCACGGCUAACUACGUG